rnacentral:rRNA from 1 species
UUACCGAGUGAGGGCCCUCUGGGUCCAACCUCCCACCCGUGUCUAUCGUACCUUGUUGCUUCGGCGGGCCCGCCGUUUCGACGGCCGCCGGGGAGGCCUUGCGCCCCCGGGCCCGCGCCCGCCGAAGACCCCAACAUGAACGCUGUUCUGAAAGUAUGCAGUCUGAGUUGAUUAUCGUAAUCAGUUAAAACUUUCAACAACGGAUCUCUUGGUUCCGGCAUCGAUGAAGAACGCAGCGAAAUGCGAUAAGUAAUGUGAAUUGCAGAAUUCAGUGAAUCAUCGAGUCUUUGAACGCACAUUGCGCCCCCUGGUAUUCCGGGGGGCAUGCCUGUCCGAGCGUCAUUGCUGCCCUCAAGCACGGCUUGUGUGUUGGGCCCCCGUCCCCCUCUCCCGGGGGACGGGCCCGAAAGGCAGCGGCGGCACCGCGUCCGGUCCUCGAGCGUAUGGGGCUUUGUCACCUGCUCUGUAGGCCCGGCCGGCGCCAGCCGACACCCAACUUUAUUUUUCUAAGGUUGACCUCGGAUCAGGUAGGGAUACCCGCUGAACUUAAGCAU